rnacentral:lncRNA from 1 species
AUAUGAGUAGCAGUAUUUUCUCAAAUUUACAGAAUUGUUGUGCCUGAGAGCUAUUGGUUUUCUACGCCCUGUCGAAGGUCUUGUUUGCUACCUAUUUAGCCUCAUGGCUGUGACUUAACAAGCUCACACACAGUUUGCAUUUAGUAUUGGAUUUGGGAUGUUAUCAAAAAAUAUGUUUGAUUUCUCUAGUCUCAUUUUAUCUCUUUCACUACGCAGUUAAAGGAAAUAAGGACCUGUUGCACAAGUGUAUGCCAAUUCUGAGCUGAGCUUAUGUGGUGGUGUCUUUGUGAUCGCUAGGGCUAUCACCAUGAGUACCUGCAGAGGGAGUCAGGAUUUAGCAGCAAGUUCAUUGUGCUGCAGAUUAACACCAAAGUCACAGAUGGUUUCCACAAGUGAGUUGCACCUUAUGGCUGUGCUUCUUGCAUCUAUUGAUGACUCUGAGUGGUUUCGAUAUGGUUGAAGAAAUAAUAUUGGAUUGCAUUUUAGAAACUAUUCAUCAUGAACCUGUUACUUCACAGUAGGUGGAAGUGUCUAGCACGACCUUACAUUGUGGUAGUGGAGGCAGAUCAGAGCAAUGACUUAUUAGGCUAGAUAGGUUGGACUUUAUCAGUCCUAGUUUCAAAGUUGUGUUGGCAAUGCAUGAUUAGUCAUUUAAUUUCUCCAGUAAAAGGAAAAGGUGUAAGCUGCACCUUUGUCAUCAUCUAUUUGUCAGUUUUCUACUAAAAUUGUAUAUCCGUACUGGGUAGCAUUGUUUUUUAGGGCGUAGAAUUAGUAUGACUAAUGCAAAUGUAGGAAGAUGUCGCAAUAUGAUUUGUAGCUUGAUGGUGUUCCUAACAUUUAGAUAAUAAAAUAAAUGGCACAAUCCUUAUGCUAUCAUUUGGCAGAUAGUACUGGAUAUAUAUCCAUGUCGUAGAGGUCUAACAACAAUCCAACGCCUAUCGUCAGGUAUUUCACAACUUCCUGUGUGCUUGCUAUUUUUUGACAUAUAUUUCUUUGAGGUAUACUUACUGGAUUCACAAGUAGUAAAUUAGUUUUCUAUUAAUUGCUUUCCUCUCACUAUUUAUAUUUUGCUAAUUGCCUUAUCCUAAAAUUAAUUAGAAUGCGCUUGUACUUGGUUUUUGUUCUGAACAAUAUAUAUCCUUCAUGCAAUCUAGUUUUGAUUUUUAAGAGAUAAGUUUUGAUUUGGUCGCUGGAGAUCUGCUGUUGAGUUCUUAUUUCUUUGCGCCUCUGAACACAGGAAGCCAAAGAUCUGUUGUUGCUAGAGCUGAGCCAGAUGUAGGACGAGGACACUAUUGAUCUUCUACAAGCCUAAGCUUGUAAGGCAAGGAUCUUAUUUCUUGCUCUUCGAUGAUGGAUUUUGAUUGCAGUUCUAGCUAGCUAGUAUAUUAGAUUUUUUA